GAUGAACGCUGGCGGCGUGCCUAAUACAUGCAAGUCGAGCGAACAGACGAGGAGCUUGCUCCUCUGACGUUAGCGGCGGACGGGUGAGUAACACGUGGAUAACCUACCUAUCAGACUGGGAUAACUUCGGGAAACCGGAGCUAAUACCGGAUAAUAUAUUGAACCGCAUGGUUCAAUAGUGAAAGACGGUUUUGCUGUCACUUCUAGAUGGAUCCGCGCCGCAUUAGCUAGUUGGUAAGGUAACGGCUUACCAAGGCAACGAUGCGUAGCCGAACUGAGAGGGUGAUCGGCCACCCGGGAACUGAGACACGGUCCAGGGUCCUACGGGAGGCAGCAGUAGGGAAUCUGCCGCAGUGGGCGAGAGCAUGACGGAGUAACGCCGCGUGAGAUAUGAAGGUCUUCGGAUCGUAAAGAUCUGUUAUUAGUGAAGAACAAAUGUGUAAGUAACUAUGCACGUCUUGACGGUACCGAAUCAGAAAGCCACGGCUAACUACGUG
rnacentral:rRNA from 1 species